rnacentral:ribozyme from 14 species
AGAUGAAAGACAGCUAGAUCUGUUGUCUAUAUAUCUUUUGUUUCUAUUUCUUUUUUCUCGACGAAUCAAUCAAUGUGUCUCAACUUGAAGGAGUAGCGGAAGGAAAGAUUUAAAGAGAGGUUGCA